AGAGUUUGAUCCUGGCUCAGAUUGAACGCUGGCGGAAUGCUUUACACAUGCAAGUCGAACGGCAGCACGGGAGCUUGCUCCUGGUGGCGAGUGGCGAACGGGUGAGUAAUGCGUCGGAACGUACCGAGUAAUGGGGGAUAACGCAGCGAAAGUUGUGCUAAUACCGCAUACGCCCUGAGGGGGAAAGUGGGGGAUCGUAAGACCUCACGUUAUUCGAGCGGCCGACGUCUGAUUAGCUAGUUGGUGAGGUAAUGGCUCACCAAGGCGACGAUCAGUAGCGGGUCUGAGAGGAUGAUCCGCCACACUGGGACUGAGACACGGCCCAGACUCCUACGGGAGGCAGCAGUGGGGAAUUUUGGACAAUGGGGGCAACCCUGAUCCAGCCAUUCCGCGUGAGUGAAGAAGGCCUUCGGGUUGUAAAGCUCUUUCAGCUGGAACGAAACGGUACGCUCUAACAUAGCGUGCUAAUGACGGCACCGGCAGAAGAAGCACCGGCUAACUACGUGCCAGCAGCCGCGGUAAUACGUAGGGUGCGAGCGUUAAUCGGAAUUACUGGGCGUAAAGCGUGCGCAGGCGGAUUGUUAAGCAAGAUGUGAAAUCCCCGGGCUUAACCUGGGAAUGGCAUUUUGAACUGGCAGUCUAGAGUGUGUCAGAGGGGGGUGGAAUUCCACGUGUAGCAGUGAAAUGCGUAGAGAUGUGGAGGAACACCAAUGGCGAAGGCAGCCCCCUGGGAUAACACUGACGCUCAUGUACGAAAGCGUGGGUAGCAAACAGGAUUAGAUACCCUGGUAGUCCACGCCCUAAACGAUGUCAACUGGUUGUUGGGGGAGUGAAAUCCCUUAGUAACGAAGCUAACGCGUGAAGUUGACCGCCUGGGGAGUACGGUCGCAAGAUUAAAACUCAAAGGAAUUGACGG
rnacentral:rRNA from 1 species